CUACGCAUGCGCGACAACCGGAGUUUAAAAGUAGUGAAGAAAUGCGUCAUAUAAGAACACCGGCGAACAUAUGGAGGCUAAGUCAUUCGUAUAAAGGACCAACAUGGACCAGUAGUUAUUUCAUGCUGCCCUUCGGCAGUACCUACUAAGUGGGAUGUCGAUGUCGCGGUUGACUGGAAGAGAGUCAUGCGGGUGGCCAACCACUUCGUUGUAGAUGGUUUGUCCAUGCUGAUGGCUAUGCAGCAUAGUUGAAGCAGACCUGUCAGAAAACUUCUCUAAGGUGCUAUGAAUCCUAUGACUAGAUACACAUCCUAAAAUUACUAGAGGUUACGGAAGCUCCUUUUUGGAUCCAGCUUCAUUUGUGAAGACUUCAGAUGAUGCCAACACUCACAGAGACUCAAGAUGAUGGCAACAAUAGAUGGACAUACAAAAUUGCCAAAUAUAAUAUUGUAAUUACUGCCCCAAAGCGCAAGUUUGCCGAUUUUUAACCCACUUUAUAUUGUUACAAAUACAAUAGAUGCUAACAUUUGAACAGAAAAUGUUUCCUCUUUAUUCUUGAGUUAAUUGUGCUGAUUUAUUCCCAUUUUUUUAUCCACAAUUCUUUGCCAAAAUGAUGUUUUGCAUCAUCCAAAUGGUUCAUUUUCAAAUUACAGACAUUGUAACAACACAAAGUGGGUUGAAAUUCUGCCAACUUACCCUAUAAUAAUAAUUGUCUUUUAACUGAACAGGACUUUAAACACAUGACUUGUAUUAACUUAGAGCUAUUGUGAAAUUAAUAUUGUUUUGUUUCCAGAACAUUCUCCUCAGUGAGUUUUGUAAC